GCGGGUGUGGUGUACGGAACACAGCUGCCUUCAUUCACUCCGUGAUCUCACCAGUUGAAGCAGCAGAUCCGGGCUCGACUCCCGGCGCCCGCA